GGGGGAAUCUUGGACAAUGGGGGAAACCCUGAUCCAGCCAUGCCGCGUGAGUGAUGAAGGCCUUCGGGUUGUAAAGCUCUUUUGUAUGGGAAGAUAAUGACUGUACCAUAAGAAUAAGCCCCGGCUAACUUCGUGCCAGCAGCCGCGGUAACACGAAGGGGGCUAGCGUUGUUCGGAAUUACUGGGCGUAAAGGGUGCGUAGGUGGUUAUGUAAGUCAGAAGUGAAAGCCCUGGGCUCAACCCGGGAAUU
rnacentral:rRNA from 1 species